GUUGCAAUAUGUGUCGUCCCAUUUAUUUUGCCGUCUGCCCCCUCAUGGCAAAGAUUCUUUGUUGUCCGCUUUGAGAAAGCACACGGCAAAGAACCUCUUCACCGGAUUUUUUUUGCCGUCUACUUUGCCGUCAGCUGACCGACGGCAAAGCCUUUGCCGUCCGUGGUUGCACCCUUUGUCGUCCGCCUUGGCAGAUGGCAAAUUUGUGAAUUUCAGUAGUGUUUGUAGUUGAUGCUAGUUGGAUUACUCGGUGGAAGAUUAUAUGUUCAGAUCCUUGAUGCUAUUCACUACCUCUCUGGUCAUGAAUAUGAUUAUGCUUUCUGAGUAGUCACUUUUGUUCCUGAGGACAUGGGAUAAGUCUUGCUAUAUGUAGUUAUAUGAAUUUGUUAUUCGUUCGAUAUUUUGAUGCGUUGUAUGUUUUUUUCCUCUAGUGGUGUUAUGUGAACGUCGACUUGAUAACACUUCACCAUUAUUUGGGCCUAUAUGAAGGCAUUGGUAAGUAAUUAGUAGAUGACUGGUUGCUAGAGUGAUAGAAUCUUAAACCCUAGUUUAUGUGUUGCUUCGUAAGGGGCUGAUUUGGAUCCACUAGUUUAAUGUUAUGGUUAGACUUUGUCUUAAUUCUUCUUUCGUAUUUGCCGAUGCUUGUGAGAGGGGUUAAUAAUAAGUGGGAGGUUUGUCCAAGUAAGGGCAGCACCCAAGCACCGGUCCACCCACAUAUCAAACUAUCAAAGUAGCGAACGCGAAUCAUAUGAACAUGAUGAAAACUAGCUUGACAGAAAUUCUCACGUGUCCUCGGGAACGCUUUACCUCCUAUAAGAGUUUGUCCAGGCUUGUCCCUUGAUACAAAAGGGAUUGGGCCCCUUUUCUGCACCUUUGCUACUUGUUACUUGCUACUUGCUACGAAUCAUCUUAUCACACAACUAUCUGUUAUCGAUAAUUUCAGUGCUUGCAUAGAUUACCUUGCUGAAAACCACUUGUCAGAUCCUUCUUCUCCUCAUCGGGUUCGACACUCUUACUUAUUGAAAGGACUACGAUAGAUCCCCUACACUUGUGGGUCAUCAGCCUGCACUGUUGCAAGAGAAACUCCUUGCACGGAUUCAGUUGUUGUUGGAGAUAUAGCUGAAUAGUUGGUUGUUGCCAAGGAAAUGGUUGUUGUGGUUGCUCGGGAUAUUUUUGUUGCGGGGGCUGAGGAAAAGGUUGUAACAGUGGCUGAGGGUAUGAUUGUGGGGGCUGGGGGAAUGAUUGGUGUGGUGGCUGAGGGAGUAGUUGGUCGGGGAAUGGUAGGAACGGGUGGGUAAACGGUAGUAGUGGCCGUUGGGGGAAUUGUUGUGUGGGUUGGGGAAAUUGGUGUUGUGGUUGCUGGAGCCAUUCCU
rnacentral:lncRNA from 1 species